rnacentral:rRNA from 1 species
UACGAAGGGAGCUAGCGUUGUUCGGAAUCACUGGGCGUAAAGCGCACGUAGGCAGAUUUGUCAGUCGGGGGUGAAGUCCCGAGGCUCAACCUCGGAACUGCCUCCGAUACAGCAAAUCUCGAGUCCGGGAGAGGUGGGUGGAAUUCCUAGUGUAGAGGUGAAAUUCGUAGAUAUUAGGAAGAACACCAGUGGCGAAGGCUGCCCACUGGCCCGGUACUGACGCUGAGGUGCGAAAGCGUGGGGAGCAAACAGG